rnacentral:tRNA from 1 species
UAGAAUAUAGUGUAAGUUUGGUAGCACGAAGAUCUUUGAAUUCUUAAGAUUAGGUUCG